rnacentral:tRNA from 1 species
CUGGGGUUGUAGCUCAGUGGUAGAGCGCUCCCCUACCAUGUGUGAGGCCCUGGGUUCAAUCCUCAGACCACAUA